AGAGUUUGAUCAUGGCUCAGAGCGAACGCUGGCGGCAGGCUUAACACAUGCAAGUCGAGCGGGCAUAGCAAUAUGUCAGCGGCAGACGGGUGAGUAACGCGUGGGAACAUACCUUUUGGUUCGGAACAACACAGGGAAACUUGUGCUAAUACCGGAUAAGCCCUUACGGGGAAAGAUUUAUCGCCGAAAGAUUGGCCCGCGUCUGAUUAGCUAGUUGGUGAGGUAACGGCUCACCAAGGCGACGAUCAGUAGCUGGUCUGAGAGGAUGAUCAGCCACAUUGGGACUGAGACACGGCCCAAACUCCUACGGGAAGUAGCAGUGGGGAAUAUUGGACAAUGGGCGCAAGCCUGAUCCAGCCAUGCCGCGUGAGUGAUGAAGGCCCUAGGGUUGUAAAGCUCUUUUGUGCGGGAAGAUAAUGACGGUACCGCAAGAAUAAGCCCCGGCUAACUUCGUGCCAGCAGCCGCGGUAAUACGAAGGGGGCUAGCGUUGCUCGGAAUCACUGGGCGUAAAGGGUGCGUAGGCGGGUCUUUAAGUCAGGGGUGAAAUCCUGGAGCUCAACUCCAGAACUGCCUUUGAUACUGAGGAUCUUGAGUUCGGGAGAGGUGAGUGGAACUGCGAGUGUAGAGGUGAAAUUCGUAGAUAUUCGCAAGAACACCAGUGGCGAAGGCGGCUCACUGGCCCGAUACUGACGCUGAGGCACGAAAGCGUGGGGAGCAAACAGGAUUAGAUACCCUGGUAGACCACGCCGUAAACGAUGAAUGCCAGCCGUUAGUGGGUUUACUCACUAGUGGCGCAGCUAACGCUUUAAGCAUUCCGCCUGGGGAGUACGGUCGCAAGAUUAAAACUCAAAGGAAUUGACGGGGGCCCGCACAAGCGGUGGAGCAUGUGGUUUAAUUCGACGCAACGCGCAGAACCUUACCAGCCCUUGACAUCCCGGUCGCGGACUCCAGAGAUGGAGUCCUUCAGUUCGGCUGGACCGGAGACAGGUGCUGCAUGGCUGUCGUCAGCUCGUGUCGUGAGAUGUUGGGUUAAGUCCCGCAACGAGCGCAACCCCCGUCCUUAGUUGCUACCAUUUAGUUGAGCACUCUAAGGAGACUGCCGGUGAUAAGCCGCGAGGAAGGUGGGGAUGACGUCAAGUCCUCAUGGCCCUUAUGGGCUGGGCUACACACGUGCUACAAUGGCGGUGACAAUGGGACGCUAAGGGGCAACCCUUCGCAAAUCUCAAAAAGCCGUCUCAGUUCGGAUUGGGCUCUGCAACUCGAGCCCAUGAAGUUGGAAUCGCUAGUAAUCGUGGAUCAGCAUGCCACGGUGAAUACGUUCCCGGGCCUUGUACACACCGCCCGUCACACCAUGGGAGUUGGUUUUACCUGAAGACGGUGCGCUAACCCGCGAGGGAGGCAGCCGGCCACGGUAGGGUCAGCGACUGGGGUGAAGUCGUAACAAGGUA
rnacentral:rRNA from 1 species